rnacentral:lncRNA from 1 species
ACAUGCUCUGAUUCGCAAUUUUAAAAGACCCUUCUAGCUGGAGCAUAAGUCCCAAAACAGAUCCACUUUUUUUCUUCAGUGUGUUUGGUAACACAUUAAAAUAGAACCAUAAUCAAGCAAUCCAAUCCUUUAAAUUUUUUUCCUAGUGAGUAUCUGAAAAACAGGUGCAGAAAUGGAUCAUUUGAGACACCAUAGAAAUCUGGUUAAUCCUGCCUGCCUGCUUUCCUU